rnacentral:lncRNA from 1 species
CAACCAUGUGUCUGAUUUCUUAUAAUUACUCCAGAGCUUUCUGAAUUGGAGAUUAAAAACUAGUCUCGUGUCGUUAUCGUCCUAAUGAUUCUAUCAGUUGGGAGGUAAUGCUGUUGCUGAAGUUGCCGGUUAUGGAACAGGAAACCCAGGAACUGAAGGAUCAAGCCACGAUUUUCCCUCUACCUCUCUACUAUGCUGAUCCAUGGCGACAUUGUUGCUCAUCACAAAAAUUGACUUGUACUCUAUCUAAUGGCCUAAUGUCAGGCUGACAUUUCUGCAAAGAGUGACAGCGAAAUAACUAGAAUUCAAUAUAAGCUGUGAUGUACUUGUCUGAUACUGUGAUUCAAGCACUGAGAAAAAACUUGUUGUGUGAUGGUUGUAUAGUUAAUAGGGUACUUGUAAUGAGGUUGCGAUGCUCUUAGGAUCUUGUCUUUUUGUGUCAACCCAAAUCAAAUUCAAUCAGGUUGCAGAGGAAUAUUUUCAAAACAAGCAGACUGUCCUUGAAACGGUUUGAAGUGGAAGAUUUAUUCAUUCACCGAAGAAACGAGUCAAAUAUCCAUUGGUAUAAAACCUAUCCCCAGCAACGUCAACCUGCAGAAGGAAAGGCUAGUUUGCAUGUAGCCUUCACACUCGAAGGUCACGCACGGAGAUCAUUACGUAAAACGUGUCAUGCAGUGGUGUAGACUGUAGAGGUUGGACCCAUCCCCAGCAACGUCAAACUGCAGAAGAAAGGCAGUUUAUCCGAAUUCCAGUUUGCCUGUCCUUCACACUCGAAGGUCACGGAGAUCAUUACGUAAAACGUCAUGCAAUGGUGUAGAGGUUGGGUGAGAAAGGGACGCGUUUCAUCAUUAUCAAGCAGGUGUACAAUAGCCGCAAGGCUUGAGAGGUGAGGGUGAUAAAAAAAUCGUAUUAAAAGGAGAGAGAAAAGGCCCCAGUUAUUAGUCGAGCGAGCAUCUCCGACACGUCAAUAACUGCUUUGCACUAUCUGUCACCAACUGCCUUCUUCAUCGUAUUACCAGUUCACAAUCAUGGUUAACUAUGGCGUUGUGCUGCUGUUGUAUCCUUGAUGACUGGGUUGACCACUGGUGUAUCGAUUUCUCCUGGUUUUGGUGGAUACCAAGCAUCAGCGGGGAAAUAAUACUGCACCACGUUACCGCCUACACGUCGUAAACAUAUGUAACAUCUACUUACUACACCGAGGCCUUAAAUACUACACCACCAAGGUUUCAGAUUAUAUCACGAAUUAUUACUCUGCCCUCAACUACUACACCGAACCCCCGAAGUAUUACUAUGCCCCGAGUUACAUUACCGAAGCGCCUAGUACUAUACUGAGGCUCCCAAGUAUUAAACUACAACCUACGCUGCUCUAGGUUACUAUACUGAUGCUCCGAAGUACUAUUCUGAUCAUAGCCACUACACCGAAGUUCCAGCUUAUUACACCACCGAAGCGGUCGAGUACUACACCGAAGCGUCCUAGUACUACACUGCAACCUACUGCAGCUCACUGUUUGUCAUCAACUGCCUUUUUCAUCGUAUGAAAUCAGUUCGCACUCAUGGUUAACUAUGGCUUUGUGCUACUGUUGGGUGUUGUAUCGUUGAUGGCUGGGUCGACCUUGGUGUACCGAUGACCCCUGGGUAUGGUAGAUACUAAAACGCAACACCCCCUCCUUACUACUCAACAACAACGUACGCAACAACCGGUACGCAACUACAUCACCAAGGCUCCAGUGUAUUACAGCAAAACUUAUGAUGCCCCGAGCUACUACACAGAGCCCCAAAGUAUAAGUCUGCCCUGAGCUAUAUUAUCAAAGAGUCGGAGUACUACACCGAAGCGCCCAAGUACUUCACUACUACCUACGCUGCCCCGAGCUUCUACACCGAAGCCCCGAAAUAUUACACUGCGUUGAAGGAGUCGUCUAAAAGUAGAGAAAAGGAGAUAGAAAUCAGUCGAGUGAGGAUCUCCGACCCGGCAACAACUGCAACGGAUUACUUGUCACCAACUGGAUUGUUAAUCGUAUAACCAGUCCGCAAUCAUGGUAAACUAUAGCGUCGUGCUGCUGUUGGGUGUUGAAUCAUUGGUGGCUGGGUCGACCGCUGGUGUACCGAUGUCUCCUUGGCAUUGUGGAUACCAAAUCACAAUGCCUCUGCAGGGUACUGGUACACAACAACAACUUACGCAACGACUAGUUACUACACAGAGGGCCCUAAGUACUACACCACUAAGGCACCGGAGUAUUAUACCACAAAUUACGCUGCCCUGAGCUACUACAUUGACGCCCUAAAGUAUUACUCUUCCCCGAACUACACCACCCCUUAGUACCCGAGUACUACACGACUUCGUAUGCUGCGCUGUCCCAUCCUACUACACCGAGGCUCCCAAGUACUACUCUGUUCUCAGCUGCUUGUAGUAAUCCUAAGUACUACUUUGUUUCUAGAUACUACACUAAAGCUCCAGCUUAUUACACCAACGAAGUGGUCGACUACUAUACCAAAGCGCCUAAGUACUGCACUGCAACCUACGCUGCCCCAGGUUACACCACGAAGGCACCGGAAUACUACAUCAUAAACAAACCGUGCCUCAGCCUAAUACACCCGAUCUACACCACCACAUCUGAGGCGGCAAAGUAUUACUACUCAGCGCCUUCAAUUUCAUAGUAAGGUGGCAGCAUACCAAUGUCUUAUGUUAACUGUUUUGAAGUGAGCUAGAUUGGUUGGUAGAUGUAAUUCUUAGUAUUUUUAAUGUGUUCGUUCAAAUUACGUGGGGUUGGAAAGAGCUAAAGAUUGUAGUUAAAGAUUCAAAUAAAAUUUAUUGCAUGUGAAGUUUUCCCGAAAAUGAUCAGCUAUUUUUCAUUAGUAGAUAAAUGUUGAAGUUCGAAUACUUGGAAAUCACGCUUUCUAUACCACGUCGUCCAACACGUCAAAAAGUUGAGUAACAUUUAACACGAGCAAUAUUCUUAAUGAUAAAAUUUUUGAAACAAUCAACAUUGUUUUUACAACUAUUUCAUACAGAAUUUGCUUUUAUGGAAAAUUUUUAAUAGAUCUAGUGUACAUUAUACAUACACAGUAACUGACCAAUAUGAUACACUGUUGCAGCCCAUAUAGACGAAACACAUUAUGUAUUGUGUUAAAUUGUCUUUGUCUAUUUUAUUAAUUGUUUAUCUAAAAUUUAUCUGUUAAAAAUUUAAAAAAUGUAGGAAAUUUAAUGAGAAGUUAUUCCACAAUGGGAAUAAAUUUUAAUACAU